AUACGUAGGUGGCAAGCGUUGUCCGGAAUUACUGGGCGUAAAGGGUGCGUAGGCGGUUAUUUAAGUCAGAUGUGAAAUUCCGGGGCUCAACUUCGGAAUUGCAUUUGAAACUGGAGAGCUAGAGUGCAGGAGAGGAAAGCGGAAUUCCUAGUGUAGCGGUGAAAUGCGUAGAGAUUAGGAAGAACACCAGUGGCAAAGGCGCUUCUCUGGACUGUAACUGACGCUGAGGCUCGAAAGCGUGGGGAGC
rnacentral:rRNA from 1 species